rnacentral:lncRNA from 1 species
ACAGAAUCAAAUAUCAAACUCACAACUCAGAUUUCAGACCACAGUACUUUCGUCACACUCAGGUUCAACAAGAUGAAGGUCUUGACAGCAGGUUUGUUGCACACAGAAGUCUUGGCGGCACAUCGUACUUGCACUUUGUCCCCAAUCUCGUCGCAGUUCAUGUGUGCAACCAUGACAUGAAUUUUAUGCAUGAGGGUGCAAAAUCAGCAUUCAUCUCAGAAUGACACGGCUGUAUAUGAAGGAGAAGGGCCCUGGAAUACAUGUUCUAGAAUAGCAUACAUCUAAGCUUGUACUAUAAAUACAUGUUCCAUAAAUAAUAUAAACCAAAAUUGAAGAUAAAUACUCAUCCAAAAAUGCAAAAUCAGUAAUUAUAAAGAUCCAAGCUUGUACCUGUUGUGUACAAUUCAAGUCUUUGGAAUCACAAAGUCAAAGUUUCACUUAAACCAGCACUGUCCCAAUUCACUUUCUAUAGUAGCGAAAAGUUUCUCCGUAAUUCCAUUAUUAAUUCCUGAUAUAAAACCUACCAAAGUUGUUGUAUUAAAAUUUACCAGAUCACUCCACCAAAAUGAUUCUUUGACUCAAGUUUCCUACAAGUAUUAAAGAUCUAUUCCAUAAGACAUAUGUAAAUAGACAUACUAACCAUCUCUAACUGGGACAGCAAUAUAAGUGUCAUGCUUGUGCUUGUUGUGUGUACAACUCCACAGUCUAAAGAAACACCUUAAUUGACAAUAAUUGACUUUAUUAUAUGGCUGGAGCAAGUGUAGUACAAUUUGUAAACUCCUAACCCAACAAUAUUUCCAAGACAACCGUAACAAAUAUAUUCAUUCACUUCCCCACAAAUUUCAAACUCACCAAUAUCCCAAUCUUUGAAGUAUGAACACACUUAACAAAAGAAAUAACAAUAACAAAAUAACCAUCUUACCUAGUUUCAAUCUUACGAUAGACCUUUUGCGAUAAUUUCACGUAGAAGUUUCUCUGCCUUAUCAUUUUCACCUUUAUUAAACA